GAUGAACGCUGGCGGCGUGCCUAAUACAUGCAAGUCGAGCGAACAGACGAGGAGCUUGCUCCUCUGACAUUAGCGGCGGACGGGUGAGUAACACGUUGAUAACCUACCUAUAAGACUGGGAUAACUUCGGGAAACCGGAGCUAAUACCGGAUAAUAUAUUGAACCGCAUGGUUCAAUAUUGAAAGACGGUUUUGCUGUCACUUAUAGAUGGAUCCGCGCCGCAUUAGCUAGUUGGUAAGGUAACGGCUUACCAAGGCAACGAUGCGUAGCCGACCUGAGAGGGUGAUCGGCCAAACUGGAACUGAGACACGGUCCAGACUCCUACGGGAGGCAGCAGUAGGGAAGCUUCCGCAAUGGGCGAAAGCCUGACGGAGCAACGCCGCGUGAGUGAUGAAGUUCUUCGGAUCGUAAAACUCUGUUAUUAGGGAAGAACAAAUGUGUAAGUAACUAUGCACGUCUUGACGGUACCUAAUCAGAAAGCCACGGCUAACUACGUG
rnacentral:rRNA from 1 species